AGCUGAGAAGGGCACAGCCGUGCGGCCGAGGGCAGUGAGCUGAGCCGAGCUGGCGCUGCUUUGCAUCCAGUCUCAUUCUGUCCCCUAAAGGUGGGAGCGCGUCCGUCAGGGUCCGCACCAUGGCACGGUUAGGCUUGCUCGCGCUUCUCUGCACUCUGGCGGCGCUCAGCGCCUCGCUGCUGGCUGCGGAGCCCAAGUCGAAAAGUUGUUCGGAAGUGCGACGUCUCUACGUGUCCAAAGGCUUCAACAAGAACGAUGCCCCCCUCUAUGAGAUCAAUGGUGACCAUUUGAAGAUCUGUUCCCAGGAUUAUACAUGCUGUUCUCAAGAGAUGGAGGAGAAGUACAGUCUGCAAAGUAAAGAUGAUUUCCAAACUGUGGUC
rnacentral:lncRNA from 1 species